rnacentral:rRNA from 1 species
GCCUUGUACACUCCGCCCGUCAAGUCAUGAAAGUGGGCAGCACCCGAAACCGGUGGCCUAACCCUUUUGGGAUGGAGCCGUCUAAGGUGAGGCUCGUGAUUGGG